rnacentral:piRNA from 1 species
UGAGAGACAAAUUGAAUCACUCCAUGGU